UACGUAGGUGGCAAGCGUUAUCCGGAAUCAUUGGGCGUAAAGGGUGCGUAGGCGGCAUCUUAAGUUUGUAGUGAAAUCGUAGGGCUCAACUCUAUCUAGCUACAAAAACUGGGAAGCUCGAGUGCGGUAGAGGCUAGUGGAAUUCCAUGUGUAGCGGUAAAAUGCGUAGAUAUAUGGAGGAACACCGGUGGCGAAGGCGACUAGCUGGGCCGUAACUGACGCUGAGGCACGAAAGCGUGGGGAGC
rnacentral:rRNA from 1 species